GACGAACGCUGGCGGCGUGCCUAAUACAUGCAAGUCGAACGCUGAAGGAGGAGCUUGCUCUUCUGGAUGAGUUGCGAACGGGUGAGUAACGCGUAGGUAACCUGCCUGGUAGCGGGGGAUAACUAUUGGAAACGAUAGCUAAUACCGCAUAAUAGUAGAUGUUGCAUGAUAUUUACUUAAAAGGUGCAAUUGCACCACUACCAGAUGGACCUGCGUUGUAUUAGCUAGUUGGUGGGGUAACGGCUCACCAAGGCGACGAUACAUAGCCGACCUGAGAGGGGGAUCGGCCACACUGGGACUGAGACACGGCCCAGACUCCUACGGGAGGCAGCAGUAGGGAAUCUUCGGCAAUGGACGAAAGUCUGACCGAGCAACGCCGCGGGAGUGAAGAAGGUUGUCGGAUCGUAAAGCUCUGUUGUAAGAGAAGAACGAGUGUGAGAGUGGAAAGUUCACACUGUGACGGUAGCUUACCAGAAAGGGACGGCUAACUACGUG
rnacentral:rRNA from 1 species